UACGAAGGGGGCUAGCGUUGCUCGGAAUUACUGGGCGUAAAGGGCGCGUAGGCGGAUAUUUAAGUUGGGGGUGAAAUCCCGGGGCUCAACCUCGGAAUUGCCUUCAAAACUGGAUAUCUUGAGUUCGGGAGAGGUGAGUGGAACUCCGAGUGUAGAGGUGAAAUUCGUAGAUAUUCGGAAGAACACCAGUGGCGAAGGCGACUCACUGGCCCGAUACUGACGCUGAGGCGCGAAAGCGUGGGGAGCAAGCAGG
rnacentral:rRNA from 1 species